CUAGACUGUGCAGGACUUUAAAAGAAUCAUCAUCAUUGUCAUCUUCAUUAUCAUUGCAGCAACUGGUUGAUGGAGCCCAGGAACAGGUAUUGAAAUCAUUCUCAAGACUCUGUUGAUUCAGGAGACUAAAGAUAAAGACUGUUGACAUAAUUUCCUGUCUGCCUGAGUAUGAAACAGCCAUGAGGACCAGAGCACCAGGCUCACUCUGAUGCUUGGAUGGUAGGCCACAAUGAGCAAUGAAGCAAAGGAGUUUUACUCAGCUGAAUCAACUCUGGGAGCCCUCGGUGCUUGUUCAUUGAACUUCCUUCUCCUGCUGUGGUUUAGUCACAGAAACAAUGCAGAAAACACAAAAGACUCACAGGAUCCUGUAAGCGAACACAGAAAAAAACGCAAUGACUAACAGGCACCCAUAACAAUCAAGACAUUCUUCUUUCUUCCAGAGAGUCCCACUUUCCACCCCAGGAACCUAAAUGGGCCUCUGGUCUGCUUAAUAUAAUACUACAUUAAGGGUUCAGUCUACCUUUAGAAAGGAAAUGAACUUAGAUUUGCUAGAGAGUCAACCUCUCAACAUCCUGGUAAGGCCUUCUUUCUCUGUGGAGUAGUGGAUGGAGUGUUAGACUUGAAGUCUGAAGAACUGGGUUCAAAUCUUGCUCUAACUGCUUUUUAACUAUGUAAAAUUGGGCAAAUCACUUGAUUUGUCUGAACCUCAGUCUAUUCAUCUGUGAAAUGAGGAGCAUCAAUUAGGUGGUUUCUGGGAGUCCUUCUAGCUCCAAAUUUAUUGUUCUAUGAUCUUUAAGUCCUCCAGGCUUGUAGUACUGUCCUAGGGAUUUAGACACAGCUGGAAGAAAAGGAGAUAAGCUUGGCACUGCAGGAAGGAUGACUCCUUUUCCUUCAGAUCUUACACCAUCCAAGCAAAAUUCAGGUUUUACUGUUCUACGUUGCAGCUCAGUUUCUUGUUGUUCUAGCUCCGUACUAUAUGAUCCCAGACCCUUAUUUACUCUUGACAUGCCUCCAGAAGGCUGAAGUUUCUAUGAAUGCAGUCACUAAUCAGCACAGGAGUGAGCA